AACGACGAAGACGACGACGACGACGACGACGACGACAACGGUGAUGAUGAUGACUCCGCGGUGAGUGCGAGUUCAGUUCAACUACACCUACCCGUCGGCUCACACGUGUUCCGGCCAUCGAACGUUCCGGGAUUCAAUUUUAUUUUUCAAACGAUUUUUUUCGCUCUCUUCCCGCCAAUACCGACGAGACGCUCGAUCACAUAAUAAUUGUACAUAAUAUUUGUAAUAUUAUCGUCAUCAUAAUAAUUCUAUACACGAUGUGCAGCAGUAUAGGAAAUAUCGUGUCGUUGUGCUCUAAAAUCGAUCGAACGGAGAACCACCGUAGCUGUCAACCUGGAUUAGACGGCUCCAACAGCCGACCUAGACCUAUAACGGCUGUACAAAACUGAAGGGAUAACGCUUAUCAAAAUCAAAUCUACUUGCUCAUGCAACCCGCGGAUUUCCACUAUACCGGAACUAAAAUGAAGACCUCGACCGACAUUACCACCAACAGGCCGAAACCAUUAUUUCCAAAACCUAGUUGCUAAAUAACCAUGGUUUAUUAUAUUAAUAAAUCUAAUGUAUAUAAUUAAAUAUAAGUACUUUUCUUCCCUUGGUAGUUCGAAAUGGAAGUUUCAAGAACAACCCCUACUACGUUUCAGUUAGGCAAACAAACUAACUUUUUGUAUUUUUUACUCGGUACCUGAAAUAAGUUUGCCUUUCGUACGGGGUUGAUUGAAAUCUUACUUACAUUGUGCUACUAUAACUAUCUUUCGUUACAUAUUGUCUCUAAUUAUUUUUAUAUUUAUUUAAAUCUAUUUUGAUAAAUCAUUGAUGUAGGUACAACAAAUAUAAUUAUAAUAAUUGUCUCUUAAACAUACCAAUAUAUCAUAUUGUAAAUCAAUGUAAAAUAUAUUUUAUGUAAACUAUGUUAAAAAAAAAUGUUCAAUUCAUUUAUACAUGAGUAUAUUAUGUGUAUUAAAACUGAAAUUUUCUAAUAAACAGCAAUAGUAUGUCACAA